AGAACGAUGAAAGGAAGCAACCACUUAUAGUCUUGGCUAAACAUUAUUUGCUAAACAAAUAAGAUUCACAAGAAAUUUGUGCAACCAGAUUUUAUAAGUAGCAGAGAAGUGCGAAGUCAACUAGGACUAAUGGAAGAUGAGAUCCAGCAGCUCAUUGCAUGUGGAAACAAUAUCAUAAAUAUAAGCUCAAGGGAGCAUGCCAUUCAUGAGAAAUUGGCUCUCAAAGUCAAUGUUUCAAUGAAUAGGAAGAGGAAAUGCUACAAAUGGUCCCUUUGAGUUUGCAUGCCAAUCAUCUGCAUGUCCCUCAUUUUGAAACUCGUAAAGUUUCCUAGUGUGCAAGAAAAGGCAAACGAGAGAGAGAGAGAGAGAGAGAGAGAGAGAGAGAGAGAGAUGUUCCAGCUAAAUGUAGCUUUUGAAAUUUUGCAGAGAGCAGUAGAACUAAUGUACAAAAAAGGGCAUGUGGUAGAAUUUUGUCUCCUCAUAAAUUUUUUAAAUAAGGAGAUGAAAUGCGUGAGAUUUCCAUCAAACUUCCUUAACAUGAGAAUUUUAUUUAAUUACAUUCCAAACAAAAAUGGUCCAUUAAACACUAAGAACCCCAA